GCACCGGUGGUGUCCGGGACACGCCGCCUUCGAAUGAUUCUUCCUGUAUUGUCAUCGCAUUCGGCGGAGUCGGGGUUCGACUCCCCGCUGGUGUA